rnacentral:rRNA from 1 species
UACAGAGACUGCAAGCGUUAUUCGGAUUCACUGGGCGUAAAGGGCGCGUAGGCGGCCGAUCAAGUCAGAUGUGAAAGUCCUGGGCUUAACCUGGGGACUGCAUUUGAUACUGAUUGGCUUGAAUUCGGGAGAGGAUAGCGGAAUUCCCAGUGUAGAGGUGAAAUUCGUAGAUAUUGGGAAGAACACCGGUGGCGAAGGCGGCUAUCUGGACCGACAUUGACGCUGAGGCGCGAAAGCGUGGGGAGCAAACAGG